GACGAACGCUGGCGGCGUGCCUAAUACAUGCAAGUAGAACGCUGAAGAGAGGAGCUUGCUCUUCUUGGAAGAGUUGCGAACGGGUGAGUAACGCGUAGGUAACCUGCCUUGUAGCGGGGGAUAACUAUUGGAAACGAUAACUAAUACCGCAUAACAAUGGAUGACCCAUGUCAUUUAUUUGAAAGGGGCAACUGCUCCACUACAAGAUGGACCUGCGUUGUAUUAGCUAGUAGGUGAGGUAACGGCUCACCUAGGCGACGAUACAUAGCCGACCUGAGAGGGUGAUCGGCCACACUGGGACUGAGACACGGCCCAGACUCCUACGGGAGGCAGCAGUAGGGAAUCUUCGGCAAUGGGGCAACCCUGACCGAGCAACGCCGCGUGAGUGAAGAAGGUUUUCGGAUCGUAAAGCUCUGUUGUAAGUCAAGAACGAGUGUGAGAGUGGAAAGUUCACACUGUGACGGUAGCUUACCAGAAAGGGACGGCUAACUACGUGCCAGCAGCCGCGGUAA
rnacentral:rRNA from 1 species